CAUUUGACCUGCUCGGUUUGCGGCAAAAGAUUUUCGAAAAUGGCCGAUUUGACUCGACACUCGCGGACGCACACGGAAGAAAAACCUUUUGGAUGCUCGGCCUGCGGUGAAAAGUUUGCUCGAAAGGUGUCGUUGACGAUGCACGUGAAAACGCACACGGGGGAAAAACCUUUUUGUUGCUCGUUCUGUGGUAAAAGCUUCUCUGGGAAGAGCAACAUGAACGUGCACAUGAGAACGCACACGGGGGUAAAACCUUUUACUUGUACACUUUGUGGCGUUGGCUUUUCACGUAAUAUCUUUUUAAGGGCACACAUGCUGACACACAAGGGGGAAUAAGGCUUUUUCUUGGCCACGUUGUGCCAAACGGUUGUCAAAUCAUUGAUAAAAAGUGAUGUUUGAUGUGAGAGGCCACCUAGAAAGUGAUGCUGUGUGUGUGUGUGUGCGUGAGAUACCACACUCCCUGGACUUCCCAAGUUAGUGUGCAGCAGCUGCCAAACUUUAAAUAAUCUCUGAAGUAACCCCUGUCCACCUGUCUGAUUGGUUGAGGACAACGUGGAUGGUGGAGUUUUAGACUACAGAAGUGCAUAAUUAUGAAGAUGUGUUUGUGUUAAGGCAAUUUACUUUAGUACUGUAACAAAUGAAGUGAAAUAAGAACUGUGCACAUUCUUUGCAAUGAAGACAAAUGUUUCAAAUGCGGCCUCUCUGCAGCACUCUUUUUUUUUUUUUUUCUUCUCCUCACUCUGUCCAAGUACAAGUGUCUUGGACUUCUUCCAAAAAAAGCAAUCUUCAAUUCCGCCGCAGGUUGGCAAAAUUUGACGUCACGGAUGCUUACAAGCCUUAAAUCUCCGUCGAAGAAGAAAAAGGCGGAAGUUUGCAUUGUUGCUACAAUAACGCGAGUCAAAGGCAGGGGAGGACGUCAUCGAGUUGAAAACAUUUUUUUAAAAUGCUGAAAGAGUUGGUGAAGGAGCGACUAAUGGCGGCAGCCGAUGAAAUAUUUGCGCUGUUGGAAAGAACGAUGGCGUCGUACGAGGAGGAACUUUCUCGGACGAGAGAGGAGAACGAGCGGCAACGACAACAACUCGAGGCUGUUUACAAGACUCAGUUUGUGCUCCAAAUUGAAGGCGCCCAGCAGGUGAUUGGUCAUCAAGAAGAACAUCCCCCUCAGCCGCAGCAAGAUCCCCAGACCCCCCACGUGAAAGAGGAAGCGGAGGAAGUCUGGCCCACUCAGGAGGGAGAGUGCCUUCUCAGGUCAGAUCUGACGGUCAUGUCUGUGAAGACGGAAGACCACGAAGACCAACCGCAAGCAAACAACCUCUUAGCUCCGCUGUCAGAUAGCGACGGUGCAACGUCGCGCUCUCCCGAGGACGAAGACAGGGACUACAGCGGCGAUAUUAGGGCCGACGACACGCGCUCUGAAAAGAAGACGGGCAAAGAACGUUUGACCUGCUCGGUUUGCGGCAAAAGAUUUUUGAAAAUGGGCGAUUUGACUCGACACUCGCGGACGCACACGGGAGAAAAACCUUUUGGAUGCUUGGUCUGCGGUGAAAAGUUUGCUCGAAAGGUGUCGUUGACGAUGCACGUGAAAACGCACACGGGGGAAAAACCUUUCAGUUGCUCGGUCUGCGGUGAUAAAUUUGUGCAGAGUUCCACCUUGAGCACGCACAUGAGAACGCACACGGGAGAAAAACCGUUCAUUUGCUCGGUUUGCGGCGACAUGUUUGCUCAGAGGGCCAGUUUGAACGGACACAUGAGGACGCACACGGGAGAGAAACCUUUUUGUUGCUCGUUCUGUGGUAAAAGCUUCUCUGGGAAGAGCAACAUGAACGUGCACAUGAGAACGCACACGGGGGAAAAACCUUUUACUUGUACACUUUGUGGCGUUGGCUUUUCACGUAAUAUCUUUUUAAGGGCACACAUGCUGACACACAAGGGGGAAUAAGGCUUUUUCUUGGCCACGUUGUGCCAAACGGUUGUCAAAUCAUUGAUAAAAAGUGAUGUUUGAUGUGAGAGGCCACCUAGAAAGUGAUGCUGUGUGUGUGUGUGUGCGUGAGAUACCACACUCCCUGGACUUCCCAAGUUAGUGUGCAGCAGCUGCCAAACUUUAAAUAAUCUCUGAAGUAACCCCUGUCCACCUGUCUGAUUGGUCGAGGACAACGUGGAUGGUGGAGUUUUAGACUACAGAAGUGCAUAAUUAUGAAGAUGUGUUUGUGUUAAGGCAAUUUACUUUAGUACUGUAACAAAUGAAGUGAAAUAAGAACUGUGCACAUUCUUUGCAAUGAAGACAAAUGUUUCAAAUGCGGCCUCUCUGCAGCACUCUUUUUUUUUUUUUUUUUUUUCUUCUCCUCACUCUGUCCAAGUACAAGUGUCUUGGACUUCUUCCAAAAAAAGCAAUCUUCAAUUCCGCCGCAGGUUGGCAAAAUUUGACGUCACGGAUGCUUACAAGCCUUAAAUCUCCGUCGAAGAAGAAAAAGGCGGAAGUUUGCAUUGUUGCUACAAUAACGCGAGUCAAAGGCAGGGGAGGACGUCAUCGAGUUGAAAACAUUUUUUUUAAAAUGCUGAAAGAGUUGGUGAAGGAGCGACUAAUGGCGGCAGCCGAUGAAAUAUUUGCGCUGUUGGAAAGAACGAUGGCGUCGUACGAGGAGGAACUUUCUCGGACGAGAGAGGAGAACGAGCGGCAACGACAACAACUCGAGGCUGUUUACAAGACUCAGUUUGUGCUCCAAAUUGAAGGUAUGUUGCGAAUAUGUCAUCCAAGAUGGCGGCCAACGUACACUCAGGAAGUCGAACAAGAUGGCGGUCAUUCAUUCACCCCACAGUAGUGUUGCCCACGUAAUGAAAGAUAAAAAAGGGACACCUUGUUGGCAGAGCUGCUCGAGUUGCCUUGUUUUUUAUUUAUUAUAAUCGAUCCGCAAAGGCUGAAUAGGGACUCUUCUUGUUUGUGGAAGACGUUUCACAUCGAUUCAUCAACAGGAACAACAAUAGCAAUUGUUACUGUUGUUUGUGUUUGACACGGACGUAUUAGGAGUGACGGACCGGAUUUCAGGGCCCACUCCUAUGGUUGUAUGUGUGGACGGUGGUUGUCGGUGAUAAAUAAAAAGACCCGGUGAGCAAGGGUAAUCCUCGAUCGUCCCGGUUGUACAGUCAUGAGACAGAGCAAACUGACACACAAAAUGGCAGGUUUUUAAACAGUUUAACUCGAACCUGCCUUUAAUUAGAUGCAUGUUUUGGAGUAAUGCAGUACAUGCGGAAACAAAGCGUUCUGGCCACCACUAGAGGGCGCCUCAAAGUGGUUAACCCAGCGCUCACCAACGUGGUGCCGGGCACUGGGUAGCCCCCCACAACCACAUGAGGUGCCCGCAAGCCUGCUUUUCAUUCAGGUUUUCAGUUAAUAUUGUGAGAACAGUAGAAAGAAAAGUAUUCUGAAACAUAAAAUGUGAGUUGUGGAUACCAGCAUUUUGUGAAUGUUUUGGUAAAACAAGCAUGUUUGCUUUGUUUGGGUUGAAAUAAGCUAUGAAAAUCAUUUCUACAAAAAUGAGUAGCUCGUGGCCAUUUUCAUUUUCUAAGAGUAACUCUCGCAAGAAAAAACGUUGGUGACCCCUGGGUUAACCAUUACACACAAUGACCAGAUACAGUUUUUUUUACCGGUAUUUACCACUUUUGUAUUUGUUAAAUGGACAUGACGGUAGUACGUCGCCCCGGCUAGCUGUCUGAGAAGGUGUUUCAACAUCUACCACGCGAUCACACGCCAUGCGGUUCUGGUCACUUCGCUGCAGAUUUUGGUAAGUAUAAGUUUGACUUUAGCGUCUCACAGCAACAACAGUGCCUGCAAGGACCGUCGAAUGCCCCCCCCCACAAAAAAAAUCUGGGCUUUCUUUGUACAUUUUUACCUGUAUUAUCACAUGUAACACAAAACUAAAUUUUUAUGCUUUAUUAUGAGAAUGUGUUUGUAAGUUUUUACUUAAAUGAAUAAAAUAAGGUUUGUUUUCUUGGUGGAAAAACCAGCGGGGGAGGUGGUUAGAAAAAAAAUUAUAGAAUAGUUUUUUUGACCAAAAAUUUCGGGGUGCUGAAUUGCAAAACACCAAAAAUUUUUGUUAAAUUAUACUUAUUUUUAUUGCAUAAGAGAAACAACAUUGAAUGUGAUGUAUGUCGAUUAUAAAAAGGAAACCAGCACAGCUUCUUUCUGCCCACUUGUAAAAUAUUUCACUCUUUUACCACUAAAGUAUUUAAACAUUUUUUAUAAUCCCGAACGCCCGAUCCCAACAACGUAUUUGUGCGUUUUUUACAGUUGUUUUUUUUGUGCAAGAGACAAAAACAGGUGAUGAUGCAAUUCGGCACUAAUAUAUGAACAUUUCAGAGCAAUUUUAAGCCGUAAAAACGGCCAAAAGGUGGCAGUCGUGCAUUUGAUGAGUGCCCGGCAGGGAUCAUGUGACUGAAGAAUCACACAUGACAGGAAGGAGGAAGUGAGAGAGCGUGGAGUGUAGCGUGCAGAAGGUUACAUGUUGUGGUUGUAACGCGUGCACACACACAGUUCCAUUCCAAAUGUGAAAAUUGUAAACACCGUAUUUUCACAACCAUAAGGCGCACCGUAUUAAAAGGCGCAGUCUCAGUUACAGGUGCUCUUUCUGUAUUUAACACAAACAUAAGGCACACCGUAUUAUUGGGCGCAGGCAUGGUAAAUGCAUUACAUACGCUAGCAUACAUGCUAUCGUUUGUUUUUAAAAAGCCAGCGGGGCAAGACUGAGUUGGGUUGUACUUUAUUGAAGUAUUUAACAAUGUACUCACGUUAUUUUUGAUCCUCAUCCACAAAUCCAUCAAAGUCCUCAUCUUCUGUAUCCCCAAUGAACAGCAGGGCAAGUUCUCCAUCAAACACGGCAAGUUCCCUGUCGUCAUUGUCAGUCAGUCUCGUUGCCGUGCGGCUCCUCAGAAAUGAUGCUGGCUUUCGUGAAAGCUCCAACAACAGUGCAUCAGACACGUUAGCCCAAGCAUCCACAAUCCAUUCACAAAUUGUGCCGUAACUCGCAUGGCGCUGCCUCCAAGUCUGAGUGAAGCUGUGUUCGCCAUCGCUCCCACGCCGCUCGCAACUUCACUUUGACAUCACCACCAACGGACGCGUGGAAAAAAACAUCCGGUCUCUUUCCGUACACGUCACUCAGCCACUCUCUGUUUUUCUACUCGUCCAUCCAGCCCUUUUGAUUGGCCUUAACGAUGACUCUGGCUGGAAACUUUUCUUGAGGCAGGGUCUUCUUCUUAAAAAUCACCAUCUGUGGCAGUUUCUGACCAUUACCAUGGCAACCAUGCACAACAGUAAACCCCGACUUCUCGUGCCCCGUUGUGUGUAUCUACCGUGCUGGUCCCCUUCUCUACUGUGUGGUUCACCUGGAUGUGGAAAGUGAGCAGCACCUCGUCCAUGUUGGUGAUGUAGUUGGGCUGGAUGUGUUUGUCUGCAAUGUUUUUACUGCAGGAGGAGCGGAAGAUGACCAGCUUUCCUUGUAAUCCGCCGGAUGUUGCUGCGCCACGUUAGUCCUUGCCCGGAUGGAUAUAUGGCGCCGUUUCUUUGAUCCUGAAUUCGCUUGCGGCUGCUCGAUUCCCAUGUUCCUCCCCGUAACUGAUAGCUUGCAGUUUAAACUGUGCUUCAUAAGCCUGUCUGUUCGUAGGCGUCAUUUUUGGGAGUCCUUAGCCAAACCGAUGUUGUCACUAUGUACGUACCUACUGGGGGCGUGUCUUUAGAAUCUUCUUUCACGCCCACCCUUCCCCCUUUAACGUCCGCAUGCUGUCCUCAUUCACGUCCGCCUUUCCUUUAUAUAAGCAGCGUGUCGGCAGGAAAUGUUUACAGUCAGUCAAGCGGAGCGCUCAUCAAAGUCACACAACAGCAUUCACAGAUUUUGGAACUCGGUGCACACAUAAGGCAUUAUAAGGCGCCACGUCCAUUUUGGAGGAAAUGUAAGACUUGUAAGUGCGCCUUAUGGUUGUGAAAAUACGGUAGUUGAUGGUGUUUGUAAAUAAAUUAUUAUUUUGAUGUAAAACAACCCUUUUUAGUGUUGUUUUACAUCAAAAUUUAGUUGUUUAGAUAUUUGAGCUGUCACAAAAGCAAAAAUAUUUGUGUCAAAGUGAAAGUUAUGCUUGAAAUGUAUCUUUUCACAAAAGGGCUAUUUAGUUGGGAACUGAUAUUUUCCUGAAACUUACCUAUGUUCUACUGCUGAUUACUAAAGAACGGAAAAAGGCAGAAACAAACUUUUUCUUCUGAUGAAAGACGGGAGUCUAAUCUUUCUUUUGGUAGGUUCCAUGUUUAUAAUGCCAUAGAACACAAUAUUGUGUGUGCCUUGAAAGAUCAGUCCAAAUGGUCGUUACUGAAGGGAUUGAAUGAGUUAAUGGACCAACCAAUAUCUGUCAUGUCUGACCUCCAGUGUGUUUGUGUCCUGCAGGCGACCAGCAGGUGAUUGGUCAUCAAGAAGAACAUCCCCCUCAGCCGCAGCAAGAUCCCCAGACCCCCCACGUGAAAGAGGAAGUGGAGGAAGUCUGGCCCACUCAGGAGGGAGAGUGCCUUCUCAGGUCAGAUCUGACGGUCAUGUCUGUGAAGACGGAAGACCACGAAGACCAACCGCAAGCAAACAACCUCUUAGCUCCGCUGUCAGAUAGCGACGGUGCAACGUCGCGCUCUCCCGAGGAUGAAGACGGGAACUACAGCGGCGAUACAGACUGCGAAGGCGAUACGAGCUCCGACGACACACGCUUUAAACGCUCUGAAAAGAAGAUGGGCAAAGAGCGCUUGACCUGCUCGGUUUGUGGCAAAAGAUUUUUGAAAAUGGGCGAUUUGACUCGACACUCGCGGACGCACACGGGAGAAAAACCCUUUGGUUGCUCGGUCUGCGGUGAAAAGUUUGCUCGAAAGGUGUCGUUGACGAUGCACGUGAAAACGCACACGGGGGAAAAACCUUUCAGUUGCUCGGUCUGCGGUGAUAAAUUUGUGCAGAGUUCCACCUUGAGCACGCACAUGAGAACGCACACGGGAGAAAAACCGUUCAUUUGCUCGGUUUGCGGCGACAUGUUUGCUCAGAGGGCCAGUUUGAACGGACACAUGAGGACGCACACGGGAGAGAAACCUUUUUGUUGCUCGUUCUGCGGUAAAAGCUUCUCUGGGAAGAGCAACAUGAACGUGCACAUGAGAACGCACACGGGCGAAAAGCCGUUUAGUUGUUCCGUGUGUGGUAAAAUUUACUCUCAUAAGAAAAACUUGAUGGCACACAUGUUGACACACAAUGGAGAAUAAACCUUUUCCCGUCCAGUUUGGGUUUGCAUUUCUGAGAAACUCAGUCAGAUUGGUUGAGAACAACAUGGAUGUGAUUGUCGUUGUGGCAAUUUUCCACGACUGUCAUUAAACACCCGUUCUUUGCAAUAAAGAAGAUUUUAGAUGCUG